AGAGAAACCAUUUAUGGGAGCGUCUGUUGGUUACUUUUCUUUCUUGUUUCUUCUUGCUGGGAGAGCAUUGACUGUUCUUCUUUCACCACCUAUUGUAGUUUACUCUCCCCGAGUUCUCCCUGUAUAUGUUUAUGAUUCUCAUGCAGAUUGUGGAAAGAAUGUUAGGUUAGUCUUGAUGAUAGCCAAUGUAAUUGCUGUCUUGCUUGUGUAAUUCAGUGGUUGUUUUUUUUCUUCAAGAUUUGUUAUUGUUUCACUACAACAAAAAUGGCCUAAGUUUGUCAGGUAUGAAAGCCCUAGUGUUGUUUUUGUUUCUUCUAACAUCACUUAUUCAAUGAAAGGACAAUGUCUUUGUUAUGUCAAAUAAGAAAUCUAAGUUUCCAAUUCUUAAAGAAGGUUUUGAGGUACCUUGUUCUGUAUCUAUUUCACACUAGUUUCGUAAGAUUCCUUAAGCUAAAUUCUGAGCUGGGUUUAUCUUAAAAUUUGAACAGAUUAUAAGCGGUGGGAAGAAGAUAUUGAGAAAUGGCAAAGUCCCACUCUUAAUGAUGACAUGUUCCCAGAAUGGUAAAUAGUGAUUUAUUAUUAUCCUAUUAUAACUUUCUUAAAAAAAAUAGCUAGCUUGUUAGCGUAGAGCAACAUUACUAAAGAAACCUUAAAAGUUUAAUGUUGCUCUUUUACAUUUGUACGUGUUUCACAAUUCCAAGUGCACUGAGACAUUUAUGUGGUAAUGGAAACUGGAAAAUCUUGCUUGACGAGGCUGAUCCUUGUAUUCUUACCAAUAUAUAAAAAUCUGUAGGCCCCUGAUA